rnacentral:rRNA from 1 species
UAGUAACGGCGAGUGAAGAGGGAAAAGCUCAAAUUUUGAAUCUGGUGUCUUUGACUCCCGAGUUGUAAUCUAGAGAAGUGUUUUCCGCGUUGGACCGUGUACAAGUUCCCUGGAACGGGGCGUCAUAGAGGGUGAGAAUCCCGUAUAUGCCACGGACUACCAAUGCUCUGUGAUACACUCUCAACGAGUCGAGUUGUUUGGGAAUGCAGCUCAAAAUGGGUGGUAAAUUCCAUCUAAAGCUAAAUAUUGGCGAGAGACCGAUAGCGAACAAGUACCGUGAGGGAAGGAUGAAAAGCACUUUGGAAAGAGAGUGAAACAGUACGUGAAAUUGUUGAAAGGGAAGCGUUUGAAGUCAGUCACGUCUGUCGGAAUUCAGCCUGGCUUCUGCCUGGUGUACUUUCCGUCCGACGGGUCAGCAUCAAUUUCGACCGAGGGAAAAAGACGUGAGGAAUGUGGCUGUCUUCGGGCAGUGUUAUAGCCUCGGGUUGUAUGUCUCGGUUGGGAUUGAGGAACGCAGCGCGCCUAUUGGCCGGGGGUUCGCGCCCCUCGGUACGCGCUUAGGA